UACAGAGGUCUCAAGCGUUGUUCGGAUUCAUUGGGCGUAAAGGGUGUGUAGGUGGCGCCGUAAGUCGGGUGUGAAAUUUCGGAGCUUAACUCCAAACUGCCAUUCGAUACUGCGGUGCUUGAGGACUGGAGAGGAGACUGGAAUUUACGGUGUAGCGGUGAAAUGCGUAGAUAUCGUAAGGAAGACCAGGUGGCGUAAGGCGGGUCUCUGGACAGU
rnacentral:rRNA from 1 species